GGAAGGAUCAUUACCGAGUGAGGGCCCCUCUGGGUCCAACCUCCCACCCGUGUAUAACGAACCCUUGUUGCUUCGGCGGGCCCGCCGUAUGGCCGCCGGGGGGCACCUGCCCCCGGGCCCGCGCCCGCCGAAGACACCUGUGAACGCUGUCUGAAGUUGCAGUCUGAGACAACUAGCUAAAUUAGUUAAAACUUUCAACAACGGAUCUCUUGGUUCCGGCAUCGAUGAAGAACGCAGCGAAAUGCGAUAAUUAAUGUGAAUUGCAGAAUUCAGUGAAUCAUCGAGUCUUUGAACGCACAUUGCGCCCUCUGGUAUUCCGGAGGGCAUGCCUGUCCGAGCGUCAUUGCUGCCCUCAAGCACGGCUUGUGUGUUGGGCCCCCGUCCCCCGCCCACGGGGGACGGGCCCGAAAGGCAGCGGCGGCACCGCGUCCGGUCCUCGAGCGUAUGGGGCUUCGUCACCCGCUCUUGCAGGCCCGGCCGGCGCCAGCCGACCCCCCUCAACCAAACUUUUUCAGGUUGACCUCGGAUCAGGUAGGGAUACCCGCUGAACUUAAGCAUAUCAAUAAGCGGAGGAAAAGAAACCAACAGGGAUUGCCCCAGUAACGGCGAGUGAAGCGGCAAGAGCUCAAAUUUGAAAGCUGGCCCCCUCGGGGUCCGCAUUGUAAUUUGCAGAGGAUGCUUCGGGAGCGGUCCCCAUCUAAGUGCCCUGGAACGGGCCGUCAUAGAGGGUGAGAAUCCCGUAUGGGAUGGGGUGCCCGCGCCCGUGUGAAGCUCCUUCGACGAGUCGAGUUGUUUGGGAAUGCAGCUCUAAAUGGGUGGUAAAUUUCAUCUAAAGCUAAAUAUUGGCCGGAGACCGAUAGCGCACAAGUAGAGUGAUCGAAAGAUGAAAAGCACUUUGAAAAGAGAGUUAAACAGCACGUGAAAUUGUUGAAAGGGAAGCGCUUGCGACCAGACUCGCCCACGGGGUUCAGCCGGCAUUCGUGCCGGUGUACUUCCCCGCGGGCGGGCCAGCGUCGGUUUGGGCGGCCGGUCAAAGGCCCCUGGAAUGUAACGCCUCUCGGGGCGUCUUAUAGCCAGGGGUGCCAUGCGGCCUGCCCGGACCGAGGAACGCGCUUCGGCUCGGACGCUGGCAUAAUGGUCGUAAGCGACCCGUCUUGAAACACGGACCAAGGAGUCUAACAUCUACGCGAGUGUUCGGGUGUCAAACCCGUGCGCGCAGUGAAAGCGAACGGAGGUGGGAACCCUUUGGGUGCACCAUCGACCGAUCCUGAUGUCUUCGGAUGGAUUUGAGUAAGAGCGUAGCUGUUGGGACCCGAAAGAUGGUGAACUAUGCCUGAAUAGGGCGAAGCCAGAGGAAACUCUGGUGGAGGCUCGCAGCGGUUCUGACGUGCAAAUCGAUCGUCAAAUUUGGGUAUAGGGGCGAAAGACUAAUCGAACCAUCUAGUAGCUGGUUCCUGC
rnacentral:misc_RNA from 1 species